CCUACGGGAGGCAGCAGUAGGGAAUUUUCGGCAAUGGGGGGAACCCUGACCGAGCAACGCCGCGUGAACGAAGAAGUUAUUCGUAAUGUAAAGUUCUUUUAACAGGGAAGAAAGAGAAAUUUGACUGUACCUGAAGAAUAAGCUCCGGCUAACUACGUGCCAGCAGCCGCGGUAAUACGUAGGGAGCGAGCGUUAUCGGGAAUUAUUGGGCGAAAGGGGUGCGUAGAUGGCAUAGUAAGUCUUUUGUAAAAAUGCUGGGCUCAACCCAGUAGGGCAAAAGAUACUGCAAAGCUAGAGUAUGAGAGAGGCAAGUGGAACUACAUGUGUAGCGGUAAAAUGCGUAAAUAUAUGUAAGAACACCAGUGGCGAAGGCGGCUUGCUGGGUCGAUACUGACAUUGAGGCACGAAAGCGUGGGGAGCAAACAGGAUUAGAUACCCUUGUAGUC
rnacentral:rRNA from 1 species